rnacentral:lncRNA from 1 species
CUGCGUGCUGGUGAAAGAAUACUUUUGAAGGAAACUUCGGGAAGAAGCCACAGUAUUGAAUAUGAAUUGCUGAGUGUGAGAGAUCGGUUUGGAUCGUGGGUGAUUCGCUGCGUCAUGGACUUCGGAUGACAAAUAAGGAACGGCUAUGGCUAUGGUCAUCGUCAAACCGCCUGUACACUGCACGAGGGCAACUAAAUAUGGAGCCAGAACACAUUACGCAGUGCGACCUCCGCCCACAUAACCCAUGUGCACUUUGGACUUCAAUUAAAUAAUUCGGAGGCAAGAUCGGUAGCGAAGAAACUAUUUUCACCUGGGGGAAUUUUCGAUUCACGCUGGGACUGGACUAAUUACUGUCUGCAUGAUCCCACAGGAUAAAAAUGGAACCAUAUUAAGGAUUCUUUUCGAAUAAUGUAAAGAGACGAUUUGUGUUGUGGUCUAGUCGGCGAAUAAAGAAGAGUCGUAGAAGUGUUGCGGACAAGAUCGGCGGCUACAUUAUUGGAAAUGUUUUGAUCUGUGGAAGCUGUAUCCUGCCACCGUCUUUCUCUUGCUCUGUGCACCUGUCUUUGAAAUAUAUCGGAUGAUAAAGAU